UGAUGAUGAAUGAGCAGAUUUACCAGCCGUCCUGAUUUGAUGUUUGAAGCGAGUCUGGUAAAGACACAUAAGAAAACUCUGGUACUUCCUGUAGCAGCUUCAGAACCGAAUCACAACUCUCACAACCAGACGCAUCUGCAUCGCCGGACGCCCGAGGACUGUAACCUGACCGCAUCUGUGGCUUCAUUGCUGCUGAUGAAAUGCCUCGAUCGUUUCUAGUGAAAAGUAAGAGGGCGGGGCAUCACUCUACACGCUUCGCCCACUCUCAGCAUCGGCAUCAUGACGGAUGGACGUCCAGCAGUCACUCAUCAGCUCUGGAUCUGCUGCCCUGCACAUCCACCGACAGAAGCCAGACCCAAAACAGCAGUGAUGGAGCUGGAGCUGGAGCCUGGCCUUCAUCCACUGCAGCAGGGAAGCAGUCUGGAGUCUGUCCCUCGUCUGACCUGUCGUCCUCUGCUGCUGUGGAGAGACAGCGUGAUCUGGAGCGUCUGAUUCAGGCUUUACUCAGUUUCUAUCAGCUGACCAACGUCCAGACGCCGCUGUGUGAGUGUCUGCUCUGUGACAAGGUGAGGAACUGUCGUGUGUGUCAUUAUUGUGGGGGGCUUCAAACUUUUUGGAGCCAGGGACCCCUUACAGGGGAGAGGACGUCCAAGGACUCCCUCAUAAUUAUAACAGUGUUUAAAGGGGUCAUCGGAUGCUGUAUGCACUUUUACAAGUUGUUUGAACUGAAAUGUGUGGCAGUGUGUGUACACAGCCUCCCUAUAAUGAUAAAAAUCCACCCAGUGUUUUUUUUUUUUAAUCUACUAAAAUCUUUACCCCUUUCUCAAAUCAAGCUGAUCUCAGAUGCCUCUCUUUGUGACAUCACACAAACAGGCCCCUCCCACGAUAGUUUGACUGACAGUGGCGUUUCAGCACAGACUGGACUGGCGUCUUACUUUAGACCCGCCCUGAGUGAGCUGUUUUGUUGUUGGAUGUAA
rnacentral:lncRNA from 12 species